AUUGAACGCUGGCGGCAUGCCUUACACAUGCAAGUCGAACGGCAGCACGGGUGCUUGCACCUGGUGGCGAGUGGCGAACGGGUGAGUAAUAUAUCGGAACGUACCUUAUUGUGGGGGAUAACGCAGCGAAGGCUGUGCUAAUACCGCAUAAUCCCUAAGGGGGAAAGCGGGGGACCGUAAGGCCUCGCGCAAUUAGAGCGGCCGAUACCUGAUUAGCUAGUUGGUGAGGUAAAGGCUCACCAAGGCAACGAUCAGUAGCUGGUCCGAGAGGACGAUCAGCCACACAGGGACUGAGACCCGGCCCAGACUCCUACGGGAGGCAGCAGUGGUGAAUUUUGGACAAUGGGGGCAACCCUGAUCCAGCAAUGCCGCGUGAGUGAAGAAGGCCUUCGGGUUGUAAAGCUCUUUUGUCAGGGAAGAAACAGCAGCUCUAACACAGUAUACGAAUGACGGUACCUGAAGAAUAAGCACCGGCUAACUACGUGCCAGCAGCCGCCGUAA
rnacentral:rRNA from 1 species